rnacentral:tRNA from 1 species
GGGGGUGUAGCUCAGAGGUAGAGCGCUCGCUUUGCAUGUGAGAAGUCCCGGGUUCGAACCCCGGUACCUCCA